AAAUUCGCGCGCGAAGGAAAAUCUUAUCGAAGGAAAUCGUUUUAUCUAAAAUUCCUUUUUCUAAAUCGUAUCGUCAUUUUUAUCAAGCAUCUAACGAAUUUUCCAUCUUCGGAAAAGUCGAUAAGGUAUAAAUCAAUGAACGAUGUCGCAAGAUCCAAGCAGAGUGUUGAUUCAGUAUCCGAUCGCCGUCCACUACGAAGAUCACUACCUACAUGGACGAUCGUACGAACGAUCAAGUUUAAUGAGAAAAUUUAAUGAAUUAAUUAACAGAUGAAGAUAACAGCUGUUCAACGUGACAUAUUUCAACAUCACAAAUUAAGCUAUACGAUCAUGGAGGCAGAACGAAGAGAGUUCCCUUCGAGUGUUCGAGGUGAGUCGAAUGAAGAAGAAGAAGAAGAAGAAGAAGAAGAAGAAGAAAAAGAGGAGAAUAAGGAGGAGGUGAAGAUGGAGGAGGAGGAGGAGGAGGAGAAGAAGAAGCUUACCAGGCGUAUCGUAAAGAGACGGGUAAGCACCAGCCGGAACAUUCAUGCUCUAGUGAAAUUAAAUACUAGCGACUUAGCUUCCCUAGAGGCCUUCGAGGCCAUUUAAAUCUCUCGAUUUAAUUUCUGGCGGGAAAAUUGAAAAUCGUUGUUUCGUAUAAUCGAUCCAUUUUCAUUUUCAUUCUUAUGACCGAUAUUAA